UCUUUUACCAAAUCAGAACGAGGUUCUUCUCCAGAACCAACAGGGGGCGCUCUCCCAGUGUUAAAUGUGGGGAAAUGUUCCUCAUGUUGGGCAGUUAGAUCAGUGUGUGUGUGUGUGUGUGUGUGUAGAGUGGUGAGUUUAGAGCUGGAGGUUUUUGUACAGCCACUGAAUGAGUUUGUAUCACUGUGGUGGACUUUCGGUGGAGGAACUAAACUGGAAGUUGGACGUGAGACUCCUCCCACUCUUACAGUCCUGCCCCCGUCCAGUGCAGAGCUGGAGCAGGGGGAGGUCACACUGCUGUGUGUGGGCAGCGGGGGCUUCCCCUCAGACUGGAAGCUGAGCUGGAAGGUGGGCGGCAGCAGCAGGAGCUCGGGGGUCCGUCACAGCCCCGCUCUUCUGAAGAAGGACCACGGCCUCUACAGCUGGAGCAGCACCCUGACCCUCCAGCAGCAGCAGUGGAUGAAGAACACAGUGACCUGUGAGGCCACCAAGAACUCCCAGUCUGUAGCCAGUAAACCAGUGAGCGCGGACCAGUGCUCUAACCUCUGAACACACACACACACACACACACACACAUACUGAUAUAGACACACACA